GAGUGCUCCAUUUCUUCAUGAAAGGACUCUCCCGGGCUAUAUGGUCUUCAAAGGAUCUCAGAGAAACCCACCGGAUACCACCUGGAAUCUACACUGAACCGACAGUUGGUACCGCAGGGGCACUUUGAGCCCCACCCAGAUCACUGCAUUCUUCAGGUGACCCUGAUGGAUCUUACUCAAAGGAUGAACAAGGAUGUUAUCGGGCUGGA